CGCGUAUCCAAAAAUGUUAAUUUGAGGUCUAAGUGCAUACCAGAACAGUUUUCUUCUGAUCCAUCAGCCAUCUGGAAGGUAAAUAGUUAACACUAACUGGUAAAUAUAUCAGAAAGAGAUGGUAAAUGAUAAAACUGAUAAAACGGGCAACUGAUAAAAGGAGAUCAUGACAGUUAGUGCUGCAAGGGGAGAAGCACAUCACAAG